rnacentral:rRNA from 1 species
UACAGAGGGUGCGAGCGUUGUUCGGAAUUAUUGGGCGUAAAGCGCGCGCAGGCGGGAUGGUAAGUCGGAUGUGAAAGCCCUCGGCUCAACCGAGGAAGUGCGUUCGAAACUACUGUUCUUGAGUGUCGGAGAGGGUGGCGGAAUUCCCGGUGUAGAAGUGAAAUUCGUAGAUAUCGGGAGGAACACCAGAGGCGAAGGCGGCCACCUGGACCGACUACGUGACGCUGAGACGCGAAAGCGUGGGGAGCAAACAGGG